AAAUAUAUUUUAUCUGGCCAAAAUAUAUUUUAAAUAUAUGGUAAAUAUAUGUUACAAACAGUGAAGUUCAAUGAAAUAUAUUUUUGAAACUGAAAAUAUAUUUUGUUUCAACCUUCAUAUACUUAAAAUAUAUUUAAACAUGUAUUUCAGGGGCAGGAAAAAUAUAUUUAUAUAUAAAAAAUAUAUUUCAGGGCGCAAGAAAAUACAUUUCCAAUCUUACAGUCGACAAUGCAAAUGUGCGUGGAAGAAAGCCUUGCGAACAAAACUAUCCAUUAUGUUUGAAGAAUUUUAAACACUUACAGAAAAACAUGAAUUUCCACAUAUUUUCCACAUUGACACUUUGUUCACAUAUCUUCCCAAAAAAUACAGAUCUGUGUAAUAGUGAUCAUGGCACCUCACAAAUGUGUGUUUUAGUCUAUUACUUAUUAAUUAAUUCAUUUAUUUAUUUAUUUAUUUAAUUGUAAUUUAUUGUCAGUGUAAUAUAGCGUUUAGAUCUGCGUCAAAUACAAAUAAAUAGAUUAAUAAAAUCGCUAGAUGUACGAUGUUAACUGUGACGUAAUUUGAAUGGGAAACCACUAGCAGCGCUCACGGACUUUUGGAGUACUGCGCGUGCGCGUCAUUUUGAACCGUAACGGUCGUCAGUCAACCGGGAGUUCUCGGAGUAAAAGCUGUAGAGUGUUUGGGAGACCGUGCUGCCUGCUGUUGUCGAUCUAUGAUGCUCCUGUCACUGAUAGUGGAGCCUGUAAUUUGAGCCAGUGAUUCAGUAAGUUGCUUGUAACAGAAGAUGCUUAUUUGUCACGACUUACAGGUUUACAUGUGUCAUUCAUUACUGUAAAAAAAUAUACUUUUUAUUUUCAGUAGCAGAAGCAGAGACGGUUUGUGCAACAGCAACCAGGUGCGGGUCAAAACCCAUCUGUCAAGACGCUUGUCCACUUGCUGUCCGCCCCACCAGCCCAACGAUUGUGCUGGAGAACCACAAGUCACAGAAAAAGAGAAUGUCAUAAUCAACUGGAACAGCAUGAGGUGGUAGAGACAGAGAAGAAGUGCCCUUGAUGAGGAAACCAUGGCAGCCAUAUAUACGUCAAGAAGAGAUUUCCAAAUGUGUCCAAAGAGGCUUUGAGGAUUUGACGUGGGGAAACUGAGACUUCUUGAAAGCAAAAAAGUUAUAUUUGUUUGAAUAUUGUAAUUUUUUGAACAUUGUAAAGUAUGUUCCUUGCUGAUUAUUAUUCAAAUGUUCAUGUGUUAUAGACAACAAAUAAAAGUUUUUCAAAUGUGA